CAGCGACAGGGAAAUGUURGCUGAAGGGAGGAGCGGCAGAACAGGAACAUUAAGGGGUUGGGAGUAAUGCCGGCUGAGGUACGUUCACCCAUCAGAUGGCUUUAAACCGACAGCGAACGAGCCGACGUCACACGUGUUGGAACUACAGUAAAACAGCUCUGAGUGCAGCGAGGAGGGUCACCUCAAGUUCACGUGAAAGUUGUCAGAUGUGUGUUCCUGACAAAGUGACCUUCCUGCUGAAGACGAUUUCUCACCCCCACCCCCAGUCACAGUUCAUCUACCAUUAUUGGCACACUGCUCUAACUAAAAACAGAUGUUAAGAGCUGCUGGAAAAUAAAAAGAGCUAUUAUACGGUGUGUUCAUGAUCUAUUUUUAGUGUAAUACUGAUCAUGUAAAACUAAGAAAUGCAUUUUGUUUUUAAUAUUACUUUUAAAAUAUAUUUCAACACACACAAACAUCCAAUCUCAGCCUUUACUGUUCUUUUAUUUGAAUAUAAAAACUGAUUUUUUAAAUUUAUUUUUUUUCAGUCUGAGAAUCUGGAAAGCAAUGAAGUAA